UACGUAGGGGGCUAGCGUUGUCCGGAUUUAUUGGGCGUAAAGAGCGUGUAGGCGGCCAGGUAGGUCUGCUGUGAAAACUCGAGGCUCAACCUCGAGACGUCGGCGGAAACCAUCUGGCUAGAGUCCGGAAGAGGAGAGUGGAAUUCCUGGUGUAGCGGUGAAAUGCGCAGAUAUCAGGAAGAACACCCGUGGCGAAGGCGGCUCUCUGGGACGGUACUGACGCUGAGACGCGAAAGCGCGGGAGCGAACAGG
rnacentral:rRNA from 1 species